UACGUAGGGUGCAAGCGUUAAUCGGAAUUACUGGGCGUAAAGCGUGCGCAGGCGGUUAUGUAAGACAGUUGUGAAAUCCCCGGGCUCAACCUGGGAACUGCAUCUGUGACUGCAUAGCUAGAGUACGGUAGAGGGGGAUGGAAUUCCGCGUGUAGCAGUGAAAUGCGUAGAUAUGCGGAGGAACACCGAUGGCGAAGGCAAUCCCCGUGGACCUGUACUGACGCUCAUGCACGAAGCGUGGGGAGCAAACGAG
rnacentral:rRNA from 1 species